GACGAACGCUGGCGGCGUGCUUAACACAUGCAAGUCAGGGGGCCCCGCAAGGGGUCACCGGCGAACGGGUGCGUAACACGUGAGCGACCUGCCCUUGAGUGGGGGAUAGCCGGCCCAACGGCCGGGUAAUACCGCAUACGACGUCUGGCCCGCAUGAGCCGGACGUGAAACCACUUGGGCUCGAGGGGGGGCUCGCGGCCUAUCAGCUAGUUGGCGAGGUAACGGCUCACCAAGGCGAUGACGGGUAGCUGGUCUGAGAGGAUGGCCAGCCACAUUGGGACUGAGAAACGGCCCAGACUCCUACGGGAGGCAGCAGUGGGGAAUCUUGCGCAAUGGCCGAAAGGCUGACGCAGCGACGCCGCGUGAGGGAUGAAGGUCUUCGGAUUGUAAACCUCUGUUGCCCGGGACGAACCGACGGUUUCGACCGUCUUGACGGUACCGGGUGAGGAAGCACCGGCUAACUCUGUGCCAGCCGCCGCCGUAA
rnacentral:rRNA from 1 species